CAGGGUUACUUUGUAAGGACAUCCAUGUAAAAGAAAUUAAUCAACUUAAGGAAUUUCUUUCCUGGAAAGAUGAAGGUUCCUUAGAGACGAGAAUCUAACUUUUCCCAGCCGGGUUAUAUUUGCAGAGCCACAUUUCAGCUCUGAAUCCAAAGUGAGGCACCUCUAAACAUUUAAUGGGCUCAGAUUUUAGAAAUGACAGCUGUGAAACCAAAGGUGACAAUUCCUGCAGCUGAGAGAUGCGGAAGAACAUGUUGGGUCAGAGAAGGUGAACAACUGCAUCUCUCAGCUCUUGUCCUGCUGCAUCUGGGGCUGUUUUCCUCUGUCAGAACAUGUUGAACUUUAAAAACCUUCUUAGAUUUAAUGCAGACGUUUAAUACCAUAAAA